UGUGACAUCAGCGGUCAUGGAGAGUCUCCAUCCAGCUGGAUCACUGUCACAGACAAACACACCACCACACCUCCACCUACAUCCACACCUCCACCUGCAUCCACCUCUAACCCUGGUUCCUCUCUCAUACCUGUGUUGUCAUCUGUUGGAUCAGUCUGUGUUGUGGUUCUGGUGUUACUGGUUCUGCUGGUGAGACGAUGUGUUCACAGGAAACCUGAAGCAGAUCAAGAAGAAACUGGAGAAGAUGACAUCAUCACUCAUGUCAUGUACAGUUACAUCAAAAUAUUGAAUCAUCAACAGCGAAUCAGAUGAAGCAGAGUGAGUGAACCAGCUGAAGACGUCAGUUAUGAGCCAACAAUGAGGCCCAGACUUUAAACCAGAGCCAGACGUCGUCUACUCUUCACCGAAGUAGUCCACCAGUCCAACCACUGACGUCCAGCUGCUGGUCUCUAACUGGUCCCCCCAGCAUCUCAGACCAGAGGA